UACGAAGGGGGCUAGCGUUGCUCGGAAUCACUGGGCGUAAAGGGUGCGUAGGCGGGCCUUUAAGUCAGGGGUGAAAUCCUGGAGCUCAACUCCAGAACUGCCUUUGAUACUGGCGACCUUGAGUCCGGGAGAGGUGAGUGGAACUGCGAGUGUAGAGGUGAAAUUCGUAGAUAUUCGCAAGAACACCAGUGGCGAAGGCGGCUCACUGGCCCGGUACUGACGCUGAGGUGCGAAAGCGUGGGGAGCAAACAGG
rnacentral:rRNA from 1 species